UUUAGGGUUAGAACCCCAUUUUCAUUCUAAGUUUCUAACCCUUCCCUCCUCUAAGCCCUCACACCCCACCUGCGGCGGCCAAGACCUACGGCGUCAGAUGGCGAUACACAGCGACCGACGGUGAUUCACGGCGACCGGAGACGGUGGUGAGCUUCAUCUACGGCGGCCACCGUUGAUUUUGCAGCAGGUCCAACAGUAACGGUUGCGACAGUAAUAGAUCCGGCAACCGACUUGCAGCGGCGGCCGACAAUUUUGCAGCAGGUCGAGCAGUAACAGUUGCGGCAGUAAUAGAUCCGGCAACCGACUUGUAACGGCGGCCGGCGAUUUUGCAGCAAGUCGAGCAGUAACAGUUGCGGCAGUUGUAUUUCUUCAUCAUGAUUUGUGAAAUCUCUUUCCAUCGUUGAUCUUCUUGCGAGAUCCUGAAUUGCUGAUGAUGUUCGCUUUCUCCUUUACAUCUACCACAAGAUGAUGGAAAAAUUGAAUAACCGAUCCUUGUGGCAUCUUGUAGUUCGUGGUGCACUGUAUCGUAGAUGUUUCUGCAUCUAUGAUAAUGAGUAUGCAGAUUGGCUAUCUCUCCCCCAUAUUCCAGGUCUUUAUGAUUCUGAAUAUGGUAGUUUACUGCUGUGUAACAUUCUAUACUCUAAUAUCAAUAAUUUUUCUUUUUAUGUUAUGUCCUAUAACAGAGAGAUUAGUCUAAAAGCUGGAAGUAUGCAAUAUUAGGGUACGUUUGGUUUA